rnacentral:rRNA from 1 species
UACAGAGGAGCCAAGCGUUGUCCGGAUUGACUGGGCGUAAAGCGCACGCAGGCGGAUGCGCGCGUGGGGUGUGAAAUCUGGCCGCUUAACGGCCAGGCGCCAUCCCAUACGGCGCGUCUGGAGUGAUGCAGAGGUCGAUGGAAUUGCCGGUGUAGUGGUGAAAUGCGUAGAGAUCGGCAGGAACACCCAGGGGGAAACCAGUCGACUGGGCAUCUACUGACGCUGAGGUGUGAGAGCGUGGGGAGCGAACAGG